rnacentral:lncRNA from 1 species
CAAGUGUCCUGACAGGACACUAUACCUUUACAUAGCUUGUGUGUUUGUAGGAAUUUGGUACUUGUUAAGGGCAUAAUUUUUUCCAGUGCACGUGUUUUUUGAAAUCAUUAUUACUUGAGGGCAGAAGGAAAGAUUAGACACCAAGUAACUCCUGUAAAAACUUUUGCCCCUCUGUUUUAUCCUAAAGAAUGAUUCUGGACCACUCAAAUUGUGGAAUCACAUUCUCUUAUCUAAAGAUAAGGGUGGAGUAUUUCUACUCAUAAAGGCUGACAAAGUGCUACUGUCUCCUCCCUUCCAGCUCAGGAAUAUGGGUGAAGGGUGGCCCAGAAUCCUGCGGAGGUUGGAAGACAAUGGCUGUCUUUCCUUCUGGUGGGGUGAUCAACAGAGCUGCCAUGAGGCAUGGCACUGUGACCAGGGCCUGCCAGCUUGUUUCUCUGCUCCUCUGCCACUUGGGAGCCCGGAGCCUGAGUGUGCUGUGUCAAGGCUAAGAGCCAGGAGCACUCCCUGCUGGGCUGUUCCCUCUGUAUGGCAGCCCAACCUCAGGACCAGCUGUCAUGGGUAAGCUGUGCAAAGGAGCAAUCCCCCACCCAGCUCUUCCCUGUUUCCUGUCACUGUUUCAGGAGUUUUGCUAUGCUUUAACCCAACACCCCACAUCCACCAGGAUCCCACUGCUCCUGCCACUGCUUUGGGGUUAGUGCUACACUUUGAUUUGCCGCCCCUGGGAGUCUGCUCAUCUUUGCUGCUCCAGCAUGCUGCUCUGAAAGCACUGCUACAGACCAGCUCACCACGCGGAGUGGCACUGAGACCAGCUGCUCCCCACGAGUUUUGGAAAGGAGCCACCUCCUCUCUUUCCCUGUCGCCUGAACCGCCAUUGCCAGAGGUGAGGCUGCUGAGCUCGCGCCACAGUGCCCCCUGCCGGCGCGGGGGAAUCAUUGCGCCUGGCCAGGAGCCACCAGCGCCCCUCCCAGCUGUG